AGAUUAAGAAUAUGAGUUUGAAUGUUUUGUUUGAAAUAAUAACAACCGUUCCCAUGGCGCAUCGUAAAGUAAACAUGCUUUAUGAGCUGUUGUGGUUAUUACAUUUCGCUGUACAGCAAGUAGACACACAACUGCCGCCAAGAUGAAGCCCCCAAACAAGGAUGCCUAUCAUCUGUCUUUAUUUAAUUGUCAAAAGGAGAAGCAUUAUUCUCUUUAAUGAAGAGGGAAGCUUUUCCGCUUGAGACUGAUAAUCUUUGUUUUUACGUGUAAAUUAUGUGACUUAAACUUUCAAAAGUACUCAACUUUUCUUUCUAAGAUCUAGAACUUCUGAACGUCCAAACGUCUAUGUUUUUUUUAUGUUUUCCAUCACAAAGAACUGUUCUGGAACAAAGCUUAGCUUGCUAAUGUUUGUCGGAGAAUACUACCGGCAGCGAUCGUCAUGACCGAGCAGGGAACUACAUUGAGAGACUGAUGAGGCAGUACCUUGUUGGAUCUAUCUUUACAGCAGCAUGGGGUGUUAUAUAAGGAGUGAUGUAGCCAGGGCUGGAGGAGGAUGUAAGGAUGAUGAAUCCCAAUAUCAAAAUAACAGAACAGCCAAGCGCUCCAGGAUUAGCUCUGUUCAGUCUGCACCAGCAUGAGGAAAAAACCCCAAUUAAUAGAAUCUGCUGGAAUUACUUUGAUCAUGUCAACGGUUGAAAAGUUACAGUAAAUCACAUGAAAACUGGAGCUCCAGUGAUGACAACGUGAAAGCAUUCCAGAGAUGUGGGGCAACUGUCUGAAAGGCAAGAUCACUUCUGGUUUUAAAACAAGUUUUUGGAAUAUUGAACCAGAUUUCACCUCAGAUAAGGAAAACGUAGACGUACAUGGAUCUAUUUGUCUGCAAGUGGAUGCAUAAGAAUGGAGCAGAUGAGCUUGUGGCUCACCGAUUGUAGCGU
rnacentral:lncRNA from 1 species